GACGAACGCUGGCGGCGUGCUUAACACAUGCAAGUCGAGCGGUAAGGCCCUUUCGGGGGUACACGAGCGGCGAACGGGUGAGUAACGCGUGGGUGACCUGCCCUCAGCUCUGGGAUAAGCCUGGGAAACCGGGUCUAAUACUGGAUAUGACUCCAUGACGCAUGUUGUGGGGUGGAAAGCCUUGUGCGGCUGAGGAUGGGCCCGCGGCCUAUCAGCUUGUUGGUGGGGUGANGGCCUACCCAAGGCGACGACGGGUAGCCGGCCUGAGAGGGCGACCGGCCACACUGGGACUGAGACACGGCCCAGACUCCUACGGGAGGCAGCAGUGGGGAAUCUUGCGCAAUGGGCGAAAGCCUGACGCAGCGACGCCGCGUGAGGGAUGACGGCCUCGGUUGUAA
rnacentral:rRNA from 1 species